rnacentral:lncRNA from 1 species
AUGACGACCUGUUAAUACACAGAGACAGAGGUUAACACGGCGUCACGACGACCUGUUAAUACACAGAGACAGAGGUUAACACGACGACCUGUUAAUACACAGAGACAGAGGUUAACACGGCGUCAUGACGACCUGUUAAUACACAGAGACAGAGGUUAACACGGCGUCAUGACGACCUGUUAAUACACAGAGACAGAGGUUAACACGGCGUCAUGACGACCUGUUAAUACACAGAGACAGAAGUUAACACGACGACCUGUUAAUACACAGAGACAGAGGUUAACACGACGACCUGUUAAUACACAGAGGUUAACACGACGACCUGUUAAUACACAGAGGUUAACACGACGACCUGUUAAUACACAGAGGUUAACAUGACGACCUGUUAAUACACAGAGACAGAGGUUAACACGACGACCUGUUAAUACACAGAGGUUAACACGACGACCUGUUAAUACACAGAGGUUAACACGACGACCUGUUAAUACACAGAGACAGAGGUUAACUACCAAACUGCUGUUUCCCAUGAUUGGUAUCAAUAAACAAUACAACAGAAGAGAGAAACACAGUGGUCAAAACAGCAGCCUCAGUACUACAACCUUGCAACAGGAGAGAGACACACAGUGGUCAAAACAGCAGCCUCA